GAUGAACGCUGGCGGCGUGCUUAACACAUGCAAGUCGAACGAAGCACUUAAUGAGAUUUCUUCGGAUUGAUUAUUUUGUGACUGAGUGGCGGACGGGUGAGUAACGCGUGGGUAACCUGCCCCAGACCGGGGGAUAACAGUCGGAAACGACUGCUAAUACCGCAUAAGCGCACAGUGCCGCAUGGCACGGUGUGAAAAACUCCGGUGGUCUGGGAUGGACCCGCGUCCGAUUAGUUAGUUGGUGGGGUAACGGCCCACCAAGACUGCGAUCGGUAGCCGACCUGAGAGGGUGACCGGCCACAUUGGGACUGAGACACGGCCCAGACUCCUACGGGAGGCAGCAGUGGGGAAUAUUGCACAAUGGAGGAAACUCUGAUGCAGCGACGCCGCCGUGAGCGAAGAAGUAUUUCGGUAUGUAAAGCUCUGUCAGCAGGGAGAUAAUGACGGUACCUGACCAAGAAGCCCCGGCUAACUACGUG
rnacentral:rRNA from 1 species